UACGAAGGGUGCAAGCGUUAUUCGGAAUCACUGGGCGUAAAGAGCGCAUAGGCGGCUUUCUAAGUCAUUUGUUAAAUCGCUCGGCUUAACUGAGCAUCUGCGAGUGAUACUGGAAAGCUAGAGUAUAGGAGAGAAAGGUAGAAUUCUCGGAGUAGCGGUAAAAUGCGUAGAUCUCGAGAGGAAUACCGGUUGCGAAGGCGGCCUUUUGGCCUAUUACUGACGCUCAAGCGCGAAAGCGUGGGGAG
rnacentral:rRNA from 1 species